UGGCAUAAACCCGGGAGGCGGAGCUUGCAGUGAGCUGAGAUCCGGCCACUGCACUCAGCCCGGGAGACAGAGCGAGACUCCGUCUCAAAAAAAAAAAAAAAAAAAAAAAAACAAUGGUACUAGAGGUAAGAUCUGCCAAGAAUUUCUCUCACUUAAGCAGAAUACUUACUUUAAAUAUAAUUAGGCAAGACUUAAUUUGAGUACUUGCCUAAUUAUAUUUAAUUAGAACUACGCUAGACACUGUAGACAGAAGAAAUAAAACACCCCACCUGGUCCUUACCUUUCAGCAGGUUGAAGGCCUUUAGGGAAGAAAAGCCCAUGUGCAGGGAAAGAGAAUGUCACCAGAAAGCAUUCAAUAAAAUGCCAAAGUGAUCUUACAGAACAGUGCCUGUGACACCGGAGGGGACUGUUCUGUCUUUGUGAGUGAACAUACAAUGAUGGGGAUAACUGGUCCUUCACACCAUGCAGGUCCCAUUUCUGAUCACCCCACUGGCAGAACCAUUCACAGUUCUUGAGCAAACUGAGUUAGGGAGGGUAUGCUAAAGACAGAACCUAUGCAAGUUCUUAGAAAUAGUUUUUGUUUGCUGAAAUAAAGCUCCGUCAACACACUACAUGAAAAAAAGUGGAGCAGUGGCAUUUCCAUGCCUCACGCUCACCAUCACGAGGCUCACUUCCCGCCGUCGCCUCUUGCCUGCCAGGGGUGUUUCGGGAGCCCUCUCUGUUCCACCCUUUGGCUUCUUUGCUGACCGUUCACUCUCUGUCUGUUGUUGGAUCCAAAUAGGAGUGUUUUUCUUUUGUGGUGAAUGCUUUUUUCCUUCUUGAAAUUGUUUUAAUGUGUUUUGUCAAAAGCAUUUAACCAUGUUAUGAUUUAAGAAUUCUUUGUUCACUUGAGGUCAGGAGUUCAAGACCAGCCUGGCCAACAUGGCGAAACUCUGUCUCUACUAAAAAUACAAAAAUGAGCCCAGCAUCCCCUGAACAAAUGACCAUCUGGAGGAGAAGGACCUCCCUGUACUUAGAGCCUGAUACAAAGCCCAAGUUGACCUACGGGGCAGCUCUCUGGGCCUGGAAGGAAGAGCACAUGACAAGGCUUCAACAGUAAAGUCUGGCUAGGUCCAGGCAGACCAUGACUUCUGAAGGCAACAGCAUGGUCCACAUGGAAUUAGGCUGCUGAAGAACAGCAGCGAGAGGCUGCCUCUGAAUCACAUCUGCAGGGUCACCUGGGCCUGGUGGAGGCCCACAGUCACCCAUUAGGCCCCAGUAUCCUAUGUGGGAGUAUCCAUGUCUAGUCUCUACUUCUCACUGCAGGAGAGGUGGCAAAUGAGGAAGUUUCCUACUUUAAAGCAGGUAGAAGUUGUUUCCUUUCUUCCCUCCUCACAGCCUGGAGGGGGAGGUUGUGCCCAGCCUGAUAGCAGCUGCCUUGCCCAAGAUUACAUCCUGUUCUGGGGGCAGCCCACCUCCAAACCAAGUCACUGGUGGGGUACAAAGGCCUGCCUUGCCUGCCAAAAGGACAGUGCUGAUGGACCAUUCCAGUUCUAGAGUUCCCAAAGAGACAUCUUUUUGGAGAGGGGCGGGGUAGCAGAAAUCCUUCACGCAGGCUAUAGCAGGGCCUCCAGUUAUAAGUAACUUGAGUCCCACCCAGCCAAACAUGCCUUUCCGGGUCUAGUGCUGGGUUCCAGAACAGGAAACCUGGCAAAUCCCUAUUGCCACAGGUUUUUUUACUAUUAUUACUGUUACCUUAUUUUUCUAUUGGUGGAACCCCCUCUAGGGCUUCCACCAGAUUCUCCACCGUUUAUGCUAUCAUUCUUAUCAGUUUUGGUUUUACGGUUUCAGUGCUUCUUUUUGCUAACGGUAGCAGCCAAUAUACAUCAUCUCUGGCGACAGAUCAUGCCAUAGAAAAUAUUGUCGUUUUCCUCAUUUUUCUUAACGCCACGGUCAGCUGGGCUGUAGUACCAGCCCGGAUGUACCAGUUUACUCAGCCAUUCCCCCUCUCAUGGACAUCUGCAUGGUUUCCAGUCUUGCAAAUUUACAUAGUGCCACUACAAAUAAAAGCUUGCGCAUAUGCUGUUU